GACGAACGCUGGAGGCGUGCUUAACACAUGCCAGUCGAACGAAGUGACGAACGGAUGCGUAAUACGUGGGUAACCUGCCCUCCUUUUUGGGAUAAGCCUUGGAAAAGGGGACUAAUACCGACUAAAGGUGGAUGGGCUCGCGGCCUAUCAGCUUGGUGGGGAGGUGAGGGCCUCACAAGGCGGUGACGGGUAGCAGGCCUGAUAUGGUGACCUGCCAGAUAGGGACUGAUAGACGGCCCAGACUCUUACGGGGGGCGGCAGGUGGGUAGAGUGCACAAUGGGAGAAAGACUGAUGCAGCGACGCUGCGUGGGGGAGUAAGGCUUUAGGGUUGUAAACCUCUUUAGCUAUUGAACGGGUAUGUGGAGAAGAAGCGCCGGCUAACUACGGGCCAGCAGCCGCGGUAAUAC
rnacentral:rRNA from 1 species